GAUGAACGCUGGCGGCGUGCCUAACACAUGCAAGUCGAACGAAGCAUCUCGAUUUCUUCGGAUUGAAAAGAUGACUGAGUGGGCGGACGGGUGAGUAACGCGUGGGCAACCUGCCUCGUACAGGGGGACAACAGUUAGAAAUGACUGCUAAUACCGCAUAAGCGCACAGUACCGCAUGGUACGGUGUGAAAAACUCCGGUGGUACGAGAUGGGCCCGCGUCUGAUUAGCUAGUUGGUGGGGUAACGGCCUACCAAGGCGACGAUCAGUAGCCGACCUGAGAGGGUGACCGGCCACAUUGGGACUGAGACACGGCCCAA
rnacentral:rRNA from 1 species